CUCCAGAAAUAUUAUACGAAAGCCUCCAAAAACUGACAGAAUGGCGGGAGGCAGUUUCCUUCAGGGAGAUCUUGGAUUAUAUAAAGGCCAAUUACCCGGUUUCUCCGAACAUGUCGGAGUUAAAAUAUGAACUGUAUAAAAAACUGGAUAUAGCGCACAAAGCAGGUUUGGUCUGCGUGGACGAACAGGGAUUAUUUCGUCUCACCACGAACAUGGAACGGCUGCGCCAUGUCCCAAAGCCGGUGCUCAGUCUCUUUUGGGAGCUGUACUGCGACACAAUAGACCCUCUAACUUUA